UACAGAGGUCUCAAGCGUUGUUCGGAUUCAUUGGGCGUAAAGGGUGCGUAGGUGGCGCCGUAAGUCAGGUGUGAAAUCUCGGGGCUCAACCCCGAAACUGCACUUGAUACUGCGGUGCUCGAGUACUGGAGAGGAGAUUGGAAUUUACGGUGUAGCAGUGAAAUGCGUAGAUAUCGUAAGGAAGACCAGUGGCGAAGGCGAAUCUCUGGACAGUUACUGACACUGAGGCACGAAGGCCGGGGGAGCAAACGGG
rnacentral:rRNA from 1 species